rnacentral:piRNA from 1 species
AUCUUUGGAAUCCCGGAGGCAAUUGCAGC